GCAACGAUCCUGCUUCUUCCCCACAUGCAGAGAGGUCAUACUACUUAGCAUGUGCAUAGCAGGUGCAUUACUGUAGUGUAUUUUAAAAAAGUUAUUCAGAGUGGGUUUUUCUCGAAUUUAAUGAGCAGAUAAAAAUUUUCAAACAGAGCCCAUAGGUGAAAUUUGACAGAUCCAUAUUUCAGAGUCAUUUUUACUCAAAACGAAUUACUUGGAUAGAUUCGCACUUUUGGUAGAUAUUUUUUUCCCACUAUUUUUACCCAAGCCCUCUUUACCCAAGCCCUAUUUUUACCCAAAUCCCACAGGAUUUUGCCGUGGAUAAAUUGGGAGGUGUUACUAGAGACCCAUAGGAACACAUGGUAAAAAAAGCUAUUGGUAAUAAAUUAUUUCAGGAAAUGGCAAAAAAAUAAACUAACUUUCCCUAACUAAUAGAAAUGUUUUAUUAUUAAAUAUUAUUUUGCUUCAUAUCAGAUUAAAUAUUGAUGCACAAAAUCUGAAACCCUGUGUGUUUCUGACACCUGUUGGGAAGAACAACAUCUUCUGUUUCUGGUGUCUCAUUCACUCCUGUUUCACAUUUAAACUGUGGUUGAAACCCCCGGAGGUUCCACAUGAUUUGUUUGCCUCUUUCGUUUUCAAAGUCAGCAAUGAGGGCAUGAAUGGUUUAAAUCCUUGUCCUUGCACCUCACCAAAAUAAUGAAGUGAAUCCACUGUUUUGUGGAUGUGGUUCUGCUUUGGUGAUGUGGAGCUCUGAUCUCCUUCACACUAAUCCGACUUCGCGUGAAUCUCUUUUUAUUAUAUUAUUGUCCGGUACUUUCCGCUAUGACUCCUGAACUUCCUCUCUGGUGUAAAUAAAGUACACAGUGUCAUUCUGUGUGUUCUGACACCUUACUGGACGUCACUAGACUGCAGGAAGUGGAACUGUAAACCAACGCCCGAGGGUUUUCACUUUACCUCAACUAGACUAAUCAUCUUCCUGUUUUCCGAACAGGAAGCGGUUGAACAGCGGCCUCCAGAAGUACCGGGCCCUAGAUCACUCUACUGGUCCCAAACUCCUUCCUGGUCAUUUGACCUGCCCCCUGGUAACCACAGUGUAUUCCCCGUUGACGGGGGCCAAAGACUUCAACACGAACAACAAAAUAAACAAUAUGUGGUACACAGCCUGCUGAAGACAUUGAGCUAGGAAUGAAGUGUGUGUGUGAGUGUGUGUGUGUGUGUGUGUGUGUGUGUGUGUGUGUGUGUGUGUGUGUGUGUGUGUGUGUGUGUGUGUGUGUGUGUGUGUGUGUGUGUGUGUGUGUGUGUGUGUCAAGCCCCCAGGAACAGUGCAUACUUCCGCAAUCCACCAGUGCUCAGCAGCCAAGCCUGGUAUUGCAGCUGUUUAAGCGGGCUGUUGAUCGGUCCCUCGAUUCAAGGGACCCAGAAGUAGAUAUCUCCGUUCACUCCAAUACAAGUGGGGAACAGGAAUGUGUCUCCACAAAAAAUGUCUGGAUAUCAAUCAAAGGCUCAAUAUAUCUUUAGGCCAUGUCCUAAAAAAAUAAAUAUUUUCAGAAACGAGCGUUUUAUUAGCCGUUCUCUCGAAUUAUUUUUAGCUGGAGAAGGAGGGGUGUGCAGCUGAAAGGAGUCGUAGUGAAACAAAUGUUGUUUCGACCUGGCAUCCGAGAGGGCCUAGUUCAGUGCUCCGUUAACGUGUCCGAUUUUUAGACUGGUUCAGCUGCUGCUCAAUAACUCUCACGGUCCUCUGCUUGCGAUCAUUGUGAUUCACCAUAUAAUGAUCCAUUUAUUCAAAAGAUCCAAAGACAAGGAACAGGUGCAUUACGGUAUCAUUUUAUAUUAUUGUUAAUAGUCUAACAUUUCAACGUUGGUAUUUAAUUUUUCAUUUGCUUGUUUUGCUACCUAUGUAUGACAGUUAACAAUGUUGGUGUAUUACAAUUAUAUAUGUGUGUAGGCCACUCCAACUUCGUUGCUGGUUGAAAUGUAACCAUUUAUUUGUACAUAAGUUAUUGAUUGCAUUUUUCGUAAAUAGUUAGUUGGAAGGAAUCUGUUUCUUAAGCAGUGUGACACUUGGAGCUUGCAUGACGGAGCACAAGUUGGCACAAAGCACUCAAAACUGCAAAGAGACAUUGUUCAAUUGUAGACUUGGAGCUUGCAUACGGAGCACAAGGCAUAGUUUAAUAGUGCAUUUAUUUUUGAACAGCACAUCCGAUCAAUGACCUCUGUAAUUUUUUGUACAUUUAAAUGUAUGCCCAUCACUAACUGAGUUUAGCUUUAUCUAUUAUUACUUUUAUUUUCUUCCCUUCUUUUCUUAAUGUUAUGUGUAUUUUGUUUUUAAGAUAAAACAAGAGAAACCCAAACAUAUCUUAUGGUCUCGUAUUUACGUAAAUGUUUCAUGUAUUUAUAUGUUUUUUACAUGUUGUGACUGUCUGAGUUUGUGAUGUGGGUCUAUGGUCUCGUAUAGUUAUGUACAUGUUUCAUGUAUUUAUGUGUUUUUUUCAUGUUGUGACUGUCUGAGUUUCUGAUGUGAGUCUUUGUUCUAUGUUCCCACUCUUGGCCUGCACCUUAACGCGGUGAGUGGGCUUUAAACUUCGUUUUAUUUUUUUUGCUUGUUAUUGAUUGUUUGUCACAGUCUAUCUUAUUAAUUAUACAAAGCCUUAACUAAACCCCUUCUCUUCUGUUUGCAGAAACUUGAAACUUCAGAGUAUAUUUUAUCUUAAGUUAGAAAAUCUUUGUUUCCUCAUCAGAUCCCAGUCAAUCAUGCUCCUGUACUUGUCUGCCGUGCCACCAUCAUGCCUCAUGCAUCACCUCUCAGCGCCCUGCCCAGCUGCAUCUUAUUCCGUUACUCCAGCUCUUUCACAUAAGUGACAAACACUCUCCACCCAAGUGUUUUUAAUAUUUUAUUAAUUAUGCUCAAGGUGUGCUUAAGUGGCCUGAAAGGUGCCCAUCCAUAAAAAGCUUUUUAUUAAUAUAACAUUAUGGCUCCAUCAAAAGCAAAGUACACCUGCCAUUUACAGUUAUCAUUUAUACUAUCCUAGACAUCUUUAAUCUUAUUUACAUAGGCCUACAGUAGGCCUGAUCUCCUCUGAAUAUUCCGUUUCAGUAUUACUUGUUUUUGAAACCUGACGUGGGGCUGGCACCGCCACCAUCAUAUCAGUCUUAUUUAUUGCACCCACACAUAAUAGGUCCACGAUACCAUGUGGGGUCAUUUCAGACUCCUUUGCUUCCUAACACCUUGUGAGUUCCCUGGGUACACCAGCUGAUGGGUCUGUGUAUAUAUUGGGCAUUUGAUUCUCGUUUCAGAAACAGAAAUAUAUAAAAAAACGAGUGGUAAUUAUUAUUUCUGUUUUAACAUUCAAAAAGGUAUAUACCAGGUGCUUUUCUUAUAAAGUCAAAAAGGGGCAAACUAAUCUAAAAUAAUAAUCGUUAAACAUAUAGAGAAUCAUCGGGGGAUUACUUCCAUGGUUGGUAAACAAUGCGACUGCUAUCGCUCAGACCUCUCGCUUAUGAUGCUACAAUGCUAACAAUGCUAAAAAACAAGAAUAUUUCUGCAUCCGGUACGUCAUGAAGUAGGGCGUGGCUAUGGACCCAUGAUGCGGAAGCAUAUCUCUCCUUGAUGUUGCCCUGCGCCAUUGAGCAGUUUACAUAGGAAUGAAUAGGCGCCAUUUUGGAAUCCGUUGUCAAUUUUAUAAUACGUCCAUGGUUCCGGCGCCUA